ACUGGAACUGCUCCGACUGAGCUCAGUGUAUGCAAGAUGAGACUCGCCUGGCUGGCUGUUACAGAGUGCAGAACACUUUUAUUUCUGAUGAGACUUCCUGGUCAGGUCAGUUUUGCCUGUGGAAAGUUUCUGUGCAGAACAGGAUCCUUGGCAAGAAUGCACCUCUGCCAGAUGGAGGCUAUGUGAAGCCACUGUCCCAUUGUUUGUCAUGCAAAAGUUUUAUCUUGCACUUGAUGUGGGAUGGCUGCAGCUGUUGAAACAAUCUAGCUUCCUGAAAUACACACAGUGGAACAGCCUCAACAAGAGUAAUGAGGAAAGAGAUGUCCUCAAAUGGCCCAGACUUACCUCUGGAAGGUGGGG